GACGAACGCUGGCGGCGUGCUUAACACAUGCAAGUCGAACGGAAAGGCCCUGCUUUUGUGGGGUGCGCGAGUGGCGAACGGGUGAGUAACACGUGAGUAACCUGCCCUUGACUUUGGGAUAACUUCAGGGAACUGUGGCUAAUACCGGAUAGGAGCUCCUGCUGCAUGGUGGGGGUUGGAAAGUUCCGGCGGUUGGGGAUGGACUCGCGGCUUAUCAGCUUGUGGGUGGGGUAGUGGCUUACCAAGGCAUUGACGGGUAGCCGGCCUGAGAGGGUGACCGGCCACAUUGGGACUGAGAUACGGACCAGACUCCUACGGGAGGCAGCAGUGGGGAAUAUUGCACAAUGGGCGGAAGCCUGAUGCGGCAACGCCGCGGGCGGGAUCACGGCCUUCGGGUUGAAAACCGCUUUCGCCUGUGACGAAGCGUGAGUGACGGUACAGGGUAAAGAAGCACCGGCUAACUACGUG
rnacentral:rRNA from 1 species